AUGGCUCAGUGGUUAAGAGCACUGGCUGUUCUUCCAGAGAAACUGGGUUCAAUUCCCAGU
rnacentral:tRNA from 1 species